GGUGGGAUGGGUGAGUGGCUGAAACCAACAGUUUGCUAAACUGUCGUACGGGUAACCGUACCGAGGGUUCGAAUCCCUCUUCCACCGCCA
rnacentral:tRNA from 2 species